rnacentral:rRNA from 1 species
ACACCGCCCGUCACACCAUGAGAGUCGAUAACACCCGAAGCCUGUGAGCUAACCUUUUAGGAGGCAGCAGUCGAAGGUGGGGUUGAUGAUUGGGGUGAAGUCGUAACAAGGUAAC